rnacentral:rRNA from 1 species
CCUACGGGAGGCAGCAGUGGGGAAUAUUGGACAAUGGGCGAAAGCCUGAUCCAGCAAUGCCGCGUGAGUGAUGAAGGCCUUCGGGUCGUAAAGCUCUUUUACCAGGGAUGAUAAUGACAGUACCUGGAGAAUAAGCUCCGGCUAACUCCGUGCCAGCAGCCGCGGUAAUACGGAGGGAGCUAGCGUUGUUCGGAAUUACUGGGCGUAAAGAGUACGUAGGCGGUUAUUCAAGUCAGAGGUGAAAGCCCGGGGCUCAACCCCGGAACUGCCUUUGAAACUAGAUAGCUAGAGUCUUGGAGAGGUUAGUGGAAUUCCGAGUGUAGAGGUGAAAUUCGUAGAUAUUCGGAAGAACACCAGUGGCGAAGGCGACUAACUGGACAAGUACUGACGCUGAGGUACGAAAGCGUGGGGAGCAAACAGGAUUAGAUACCCUGGUAGUCCACGCCGUAAACGAUGAUAACUAGUUGUUCGGUCACUUGGUGACUGAGUGACGCAGCUAACGCAUUAAGUUAUCCGCCUGGGGAUACGGUGCAAGNUAAAACUCAAAGGAAUUGACGGNUGAGAGUUGCGAGACGACGACGAGGAGAGG